rnacentral:rRNA from 1 species
UACGUAGGGUCCAAGCGUUGUUCGGAAUUACUGGGCGUAAAGCGCGCGUAGGCGGGUUUAUAUGUCGAUUGUGAAAGCCCUGGGCUCAACCCGGGAAUGGCAGUCGAAACUGUAAAUCUUGAGUGCCUGAGAGGAUGGCGGAAUUCCCCGGUGUAGUAGUGAAAUACGUAGAUAUCGGGAAGAACACCUGAGGCGAAGGCGGCUAUCUGGCGGUGCACUGACGCUGAGGCGCGGAAAGCGUGGGGAGCAAACAGG